rnacentral:lncRNA from 1 species
CUGAGCCAGGACUCGAACCUGCACCACAGCAGUGACCCAAGCCGCUGCAGAGACAAUGCUAGAUCCUUAAUGUGAUGCAUCACAAGAGAACUCCCAUAAGUGACUUUUUAAAGAUAUUUGCCUUAGUCCAUUCCAUGAUACGAAUGACUACUCCUUAAAUAUUUACUUAUUUAUUUUGGAAUUUCAUGGGCUGGAAUUUCCUAAAUCAGAUGAAAGAUGCAUAACAAGAAAAUAGGAGGAACACAAAUACACACAUAAUUUAUUUUUAUUAUAAAAUUAUAUAUUAAUAAAUCAUAUAUUCCAGACAGUAAAGCUAAAAUACUUUACAGGCAUAAUCUAACUGAAUUUUCCAACAUUCCUAUAAGAUAUUGUUACUUCCAUAUAUACUUAAGACAACUGUGGUUUAUAAAGAUGACGUAUAGUUGUAACACAACAAGCAGUAAAUAGGGAAGCUAGGAUCUGAACCCACAAUGGUCUGAUUCUAAAGCCUGUAUUCUUAUCCCUAUAUACUACUCACAUGACUGUAAUAGAAAAUAAAUUUCGUUCCUUCUUAUUCUUUAAUAAGGUUUUGAAUCAUCCACAGACAUACCAAGAUAUUGAGGGAAACCAGUGCAGAUGAGCACAACCAUACUCUCUCAAAAAAGUCUAGGUUUGGUAGGUGUCCAAACACCUAAAGAAGUUCGGCACUGCCAGCAGGCAGCAUGGGAGGUGACUCGCAGUUAGGCUGGGAGCACGCAAAGUGGGACCCCACCCAAUCGGAACGCAGACAUUCACCUGCUCUUUGGCCAUCACCCUUAGACAGUCCAAAGCAAUCUUUGCUUCCACACACACCUAUGUAAGACAUCUGGCUCCUAGUAAACUAUUAAUGAUAGAAGGCAAGGCAAUAAACCUUCCUUGGAAGAUCUUAAAAGAACAAAGCCUUCCGCUAAUGACAUUUUAAUGAGGAAAUGCAUAGGCUAAUUACUGUAAUCUUCUAGCUGGUCUAUAAAAAGCCUACACCCAAGUGAUGUAAAUAUCUGCUGAUUCAGACCAUACUGGAAAGUUUUCAUUUUAUAUUUUAAAUCACUGAAGGAAACAAAGAAAGAAAUAGGGGAAAAAAACCUCAAUCCUUAGUCAAGGAGCACCCCAUCUAAGAAGAGGAUUAACAGGGAGCCCUCAGAGCAAGAUAAAUGUUUUUUCAAUGAGUAUUUACCCAAGUCCCCAAAUGACUGUUUAGCAGGACGUAAAUCUGACACAACCCUUGGCUAGUGAAACAGACUAAGCAACAUCAACACUCCAUUUUGAGGUAAGGAACAGUUUAGGCCUGGGGAAGAGACAAGCCUGGCAGUGUCUUGCACUGCUAUCACAUAUAUGCAUUCAUCUCUUUUCAUUUAAGUUGUGGGUGCGUGACACGUAGGACACUGGCUCAUAAGCACUGGUGGAAGCUAGAAAUAUCCCUGGUUAUUGACUUAGGAAGCUGAGAAAUCAUCGUGGGAAGCUGCCAUAGAUCACAUGGAAUUUUAAGCCAGUUUUUUUGUUUCUUUUUUUUUUUUUUUCUUUUUGUCUUUUCUGGAGCUGCACCCACAGCACAUGGAGGUUCCCAGGCUAGGGGUCUCGUUAGCGCUGUAGCCGCCAGACUAUGCCACAGCCACAGCAACACCAGAUCCGAGCUGCGUCUGUGACCUACACCACAGCUCACGGCCACUCCCCAUUGAGCAAGGCCAGGGAUCGAACCCACAACCUCAUGGUUAUAAAUUAUCUGUUGCAUUUUUCACAUGUGAGAUAGGAACAUAUCACAACAUAAAAAUCUAAAUAAAUAUGUCUUAUGAUUGUAUUAAGAAUUUUCUUUAAUGACAAAGAAAGUCAUUAUAAAUUGCAGAGUUGAUUGUAUUAAGAAUUUUCUUUAAUGACAAAGAAAGUCAUUAUAAAUUGCAGAGUACAUAUUUCUGCAAUGCAUGACUAUGAAAUAAGAUAUGAAAGGAGUUAAUGUGUUGUAUAAACAGAAACUUGGGCUUGUAUUACCAGCUUUCCCAUCAUUAGGAAAGCAGUGGAUAACAUUAUAGAAGAGUAAUAUAUAAUGUGACAUAUUGUUGUACUACUGGAGAACACAGUAUUUGAAUUUCGAUUCAAUAAGGCUUCAAUAUAGUAUAUUGUACUUGAACCUAAUGCUUGAGGAAGAUGCUAUGUUGACGUUUCUGAAAAAAAGAGACCAUCUAAUCUCAAGGACGUAUAUUCAUCUACAGAGAAAUUUUACAGUAUUUCAACAGAAAUUAUGAUACACUGAAAGAAGUAUGAAAUGGUUAACCACACAGGAUGAAAACGCUAUGGCUGACAUGCCCACAGCUUCAUCCUGAACAAAAUUGUUAGCAAUGAUACUUACACAUUGUAAAUUCUAUAGAAAAUUCCUGUCACUGUUCAGCAGUAACAAACCCGACCGGUAACCAUGAGGAUGUGUGUUUGAUCCCUCGCCUCGCUCAGUGUGUCGAUUUAGCACUGCCACGACCUGUGGUGUAAGUCACAGAUACCACUUAGAUCCUGCAUUGCUGUGGCUGUGGCUGUGUGGCUGGUGGCUGUAGCUCCAACUUGACCCCUAGCCUGGGAACUUCCAUAUGCCAUGGGUGUGGCCCUAAAAAGCAAAAAAAAAAAAAUUACUUACAUAAAAUUUUAAAAGGCUAUAUUGGAUUACACAUAAUUCAAACAAUAUCAGUAAAAAGAAGAGUAACCAAGGCCCACCAGAUGUCCAUUUCUACAGAAAUCAACUAUAAUGAGAUUUAGGGAAAAAUCACACCUCACAAUAAUACUGUAAUGAAAGUUGAUCUUUUUACUGAAAGAGGUAACUAGAAUUCAACUUUGCCCAGCCUGUGAGAGGAACACCCUCAAUUUUAGAAUUUGCUUCAGCAAAAAACAAACAAACAAAAAAACCAGCAUUAAAGACAUUUGUGAAAUGAUAGCUGAGUAAGCAAUAGACAAUUAAGGAAUUUAAAACAGCUGCUAGGAGAUGAGAUGAGCCAACUGGCAGGAAAAAGACAGUUUUAAUACUACUUAUCAUAUUUAAAAGAAAACAAGAAUACCCCCUUAUUCUUUAAUGUAGAGCAUUUCUCAUUCCAUUCAAACAUCCACUUUGGCAAAACAAAAUCUACUAUGUGUUACCUAGCAAAGAUUUUAAGUUGAUUAAGUACCAAUCAACAGUUAUUAUCAUAUCUUUGGAUUAAAGCCUCAGGUAUAGAGAAAGUGCAAAGGGAAGUGAUAGCAGAAAAAGAGUGCCAAGCUAGAAGAGCAAUCAUCCUUCUCACUGUGGUUUUUAUUAAAAACACAACAAAUAUUUGGCUCUGACGCCUCUUGUGCUCAGAAGCCAUCCAGAUAUCACUAUAUCAACAUUCCGAAGGAUAUCAAGCACACUUUGUGAGCCAUUCAGCUAUUGUUCCCCCUGAACACACUCCUCCUCAAACCACGAUCAGCACCAGAGCAAGGCCAAAUACCUUUCCAUGUGAAUACACAGGGCUCCACAAAAGGUGGCUUCACUAGGUGGAUGACAAGUGGCUAACAGCAUACUCAACGUGGCUCUGGAAUCAGCACCUCCAAAAUAAAAAGCUGCCAGCUCAGGUGAGCUCCAUGUCAGAAUUCCUUCUCCCUCCCUCAAUACCAAAGACAUAAAGGAGCUCUGAGGAUGCUCAAGAGAGAAGCGGUGCAACUGUCAAGUGCCAGGAACCUUGCUUGUAUUAUCUCAUAGAUCAUCUCACAGCUAUGUUUAUAUUCAUUGCACAGAUAAAGAAAUGGAGACUCAAGCAGGCAAAGAAACCUUUCACAUAACGAUACCGAUUGUCUGAAUGGUAUCCUAGGCAUCAAUCUGGGUCCACAUUUUAGAGACAGGAAUCUCUCCUUCUUGAGGAAAGCAUCAAAUAUUACCAGUGCCAGAGUAGGGAAUCUGUCUUCUAUUCAGCCAAAAACUACAGUCGCAGCUCCCUGCCUCUGGAGUGCCUGUCCUCUUUCUAGAAUUCCAUAUUUAUCAAGCUGGCCAUAGGAUGUCCCUCUUUGGGUUUUGAUUUACAUCAUUUUGCCUCAUUAUCACCUAAUUAGAAUUGAUAGGGUCAUUUAGAAACACAUUCUCCUGAGAAAUGAGGAUGGGCCUGCUUGGUCAGCUCCCCCUUGCAGUGCUGACAGCAUCUCUGAAACAUAUUAGUUAUGCGCCUUCUUCAUCCGGUUACUCCAGAUAUAGUCACUAGUGCUGAGCAGUCCUGGCAGUGCCUGCAUUAAAUUCUUACAUUUUUUAUAACUCUUACUCGAAAUUUCUUUUCUUUUCUUUUUUUUCUUUUUAGGGCCACAACAAUGACAUAUGGAAGUUCCAGAGGGGCCAGGGGUCAAAUCGGAGCUGCAGCUGCAGUCCCUCACCACAGUCAUAGCAACACCAGAUCCAAGCUGCAUCUGCGACCUAGGCUGCAGCUUGUGGCAAUGCCAGAUCUUCAACUCACUGAUUGAGGCCAGGGAUCAAACCAGCAUCCUCACAGACACUAUGUUGGCUUCUUAACCUGCUGAGCCACAAUGAGAACUCCUAUUUGAAAUUUCUUAUAUGUACCUUUUCUUUCCUUCAGACAAACAGAAAGAUGUAUCUAUACUAUUAGACAUACAGUUAGUUAAUAAAGUAGACAGAACACCUAUUGAUGUCCACUGGCUAGGAAACGUGGAAUCCCUUGACAACAGAGCCCACAGCUUGUAUUACAUGAUGUUGAGAGCUAGCAUCAUACAAAACUCUUCAGAAAGUUCCAAAGAAGAUACAGGGCUCAGUCCUCACCACUCUCCAAACUCAUGGUACAGUCACCAAAUACUACAGUUCUGUUUUUCAAGCUCCCACCCGAUGGGCUGCUGAUGACAGACAGACUCACAGACCACCCACUUCUAUGGAUGAAGACUAUCCCUCCCUUAGUCAUUAGCAUCUAUCUUUCUAAAUCUCUUUCUAUGAUUAUUCUCACACUAAGGAGAAUCUCAUCUACUCUCCCCAGGCUCAGAGCACCAUCAACCUCAGUGGCCUCGUGGCUCCUCCAGAACAGACGCCUUCCUCACCAUCCUCCCUACUCUCAAAAACUUCGCUUUCCAAGCUUCACUCUUACUCAAGAAACAGUUGUAGAAUCAAAAAACCCCACCUUCUAUAAAACAAAAGAGUCCAUGUUUCACGCCUCUCCACACAGCAGCACUUAGCAGGUGCCUGGCACAUAACAGCACUCGUAACUGUCAGUGUAUCACCACUGCUGAUGAAUGUGGUGGGAGAAGGAAGUAAAAGCAAGAUUUAUCAGCUGUUAACUAACUUUGAGGGUUUUAAUAUGAUUUGUUUAUCAAAAACUUGGAUUUUAUCAAGUGAAUUAUUACAUGCUGAAGGCUUUAGAACCUUCCUGUUAAUGGAUAAGUAGGAAAGUCGUUCUAGCAGAAGUUAUGGCCCCAAACAAUGCUGAUCUCCAUUCAUAUCACAAAGAUGUCUCCUAACUACCUGGCACAAGCCCUAACAACGUCCUUUUUUUGGUGUGAUUCUAAAACAAGACCAGUUGAGUAUGCCUGACAAUCCAUUUUCUCUUC